rnacentral:rRNA from 1 species
AUUGAACGCUGGCGGCAGGCCUAACACAUGCAAGUCGAGCGGAUGAAGGGAGCUUGCUCCUGGAUUCAGCGGCGGACGGGUGAGUAAUGCCUAGGAAUCUGCCUGGUAGUGGGGGAUAACGUCCGGAAACGGGCGCUAAUACCGCAUACGUCCUGAGGGAGAAAGUGGGGGAUCUUCGGACCUCACGCUAUCAGAUGAGCCUAGGUCGGAUUAGCUAGUUGGUGGGGUAAAGGCCUACCAAGGCGACGAUCCGUAACUGGUCUGAGAGGAUGAUCAGUCACACUGGAACUGAGGCACGGUCCAGACUCCUACGGGAGGCAGCAGUGGGGAAUAUUGGACAAUGGGCGAAAGCCUGAUCCAGCCAUGCCGCGUGUGUGAAGAAGGUCUUCGGAUUGUAAAGCACUUUAAGUUGGGAGGAAGGGCAGUAAGUUAAUACCUUGCUGUUUCGACGUUACCAACAGAAUAAGCACCGGCUAACUUCGUG